AGAGUUUGAUCCUGGCUCAGAUUGAACGCUGGCGGUAUGCUUUACACAUGCAAGUCGAACGGGCUUGGGGGCUUGCUCCCGGGUUAGUGGCGAACGGGUGAGUAAUAUAUCGGAACAUAUCCGGAAGUGGGGGAUAACGUAGCGAAAGUUACGCUAAUACCGCAUAUGCCCUGAGGGGAAAAGGGGGGGAUCGCAAGACCUCUCGCUUUCGGAGUGGCCGAUACCGGAUUAGCUAGAUGGUGAGGUAAAGGCUCACCAUGGCGACGAUCCGUAGCUGGUCUGAGAGGACGACCAACCACACUGGACUGAGACACGCC
rnacentral:rRNA from 1 species